rnacentral:lncRNA from 1 species
AGGCUAAGGAGAAAAAGGGACAUUUCCUAUAUCUUAAUAGUUUUGCUAUUUUUAUAUCCCUGUAGGUAAUUCUUCUGUGUUUGUGUUUAUUCUUCUGUGUAACACUCUUCACUUCUGUUCACUAGCAUUCUGACUUGCCCUUUAGUGCAAGCAGGCUAAGCACUUUAUGUGCAUUAUCUCAUUUAACUCCCAACAAAGAUAUGUUAUUUGUGUUUAUUUAAGUUUUGGGGAAAACUCUAGCAACAGAAUACAUGUUUUUAUAUCUCAUGCUGAAGCAACAGUCUUAGACAUCUAUUACAGUAUUAAACCCUUUCGAAAUGGGAAGGCUAAUAUCCAUGAUAAACUCAAUUGUAUAUUUAAAUAAGAAAGCCCGAGUUUCUUCCUGGUAAUCCAACCAAGACAUUAAUUAUUAAGUUUUCAACAUCUUAUAAAGUUAAAAUGAUGUAAUAAAACAUAUUUUCUGAAGGCAUUUCUUAGCCUACAGUUUUUUAACUGUACUUCCAAAGUGAAUUUGUCUAAUUUAUUUUUUUAAGGGCCACACCUGCAGCAUAUGGAGAUUUCCAGGCUCAGAAUCGAAUUGGAACUGUAGUGGCUGUCCUACACCACAGCCACAGCAAAGCCAGAUCUCAGCUGUGUCUACGACCUACAUUACAGCUCACGGCAAUGCUGACUCCUUAACCCACUGAGUGAGACCAGGGAUCGAACCUGGAUCCUCAUGAAUACUAGUCAGAUUAAUUUCCGAUGAGCCACGAUGGGAACUCCCAAAAGAAUAUUUUUAAUAGAUACUUUUUCUUACAUUCAAUAUCUGUUUUUCUGUAUAUAUAAUUCUAACCUACAUAUAUUGUUGAGAGUCAUCAUAAUAAUUAUAUUUGCUUAACUACUGCUAGUUUGGGGGACAUUUUUAUUUAUAUGUUCUCAUUCACUUCUCAUAACACAUUAGUGGGGGCACAGGUCAAGAAUUAGUCUCAUUUAAUAGGUGGGAAAACUAAGACAGUUUAUUAGUAGGCUGUUUAGCUGAACCAGGGCAAAAAUUCUUGGUUUUUAGACAGAUGUUCCUUUCUUUAACUAAAUUCAUGCAUUUAGCAAGCAUUAUUAAGCUGUAGGUAUGUGUCUAAUGCAGCUCUAGGCAGCGGGCAUCCAAGAUGGGUAAGACACUCGUCUCGCCUCUAAGGAGUUCUAUAUGCAGCAUCAUGAAUGCAUUUUAAAGUUCUUUGCUUUUUGCUUCCAAGGCGGAAUACAUGACCUGAAAUUACCAUGGCUAAGGCACUCAGCUCUUCUGAGACAUAGGCAGGAAGAAGAAAAGAAUUUUGAUAGUUCUGAAAUCCAUAAUUACCACCUUCUACAGUUAAAUUUUGUGACAGCCUCUUAGACGCAAGAUCAGCCUAGACAAUGAUGUCCCUUGUGGCUGAAUUUUCUGGUGAUUUCUGCUACAUUAGCGAAUGCUGUAGUGUUUUUCUAAGAAUGUAUUAUUGUAGUGAUGCUUUAAUUUGCUUUUUUCCAGCUUUUCAACUGCUAACUUUCAUUUUAGUUUGGCCAGAAACUGUUUUGAAGUUUGAGCAUUUUGGUUUAAUGCUAAUUCAUCUCAAGUAUUUAGCCAUUUUUUGAAAUAAUCCUGUUGCUGAACUGAAAUACUCUGAUUUACUAGAUACAAAUUCUAGAGCAAGGUGUAAAGUUUGUUUUAAUUAAACUUUCUUUAAAAUGCAUCCUUUUUUUUUUUUUUUGCUAAUUGUAAAGACUUGAAGGGAAGUUAUUGCCUUUGCUGUCUUUUGUAAUUAGCCAUAUUCGUUUUAUUUUAAAGCAUAAAACACGAGUCACUUAAAUGGAUAGAGCUAUUUUACUCCUUGUUGAGGACUUAUAGUUGUCCUAAAGGAAGAAAAGUUCAGAAUGAAUAUUAUUAGUUUUUCAGUUACUGAGUGGAAACAUUUUAUAUCUUGAAAAUUUUCUUUGAAUAUUUUGCAAUUAACAAUAUAUAAAGAGAUAAAAGAAUAGUGUAUAAUAUUGAAAAGUUAAAAUAAGAGUAUUGUUAAGCAGCAAAUAAAUGAAAUAUACCUCUUACUCUUAUAUGAAACUUUUUUAGCUUAAUGUCAAUAAAGUUUAAAUUAGUUCAGACUUUUCUUAUUAGAAUAAAUGUUUCCUUUUAAAAUGCAUGAUAAUCAUAAUCAAGACAAAAUUUGUCCUGUUAUUUAUUUUCAAAAUGAUUGUACAUGUUUAGCAGACUUUUGAUUUAAAUCCCCAGUGAUAUAUUGGAGACAGAUGUUUGGAUGACCUCAUGUUUAAAGUAAUGUUAUAUUUGGACACAAGAUUAAAUUUUCCUUAAAAUCUUUCCUUAUAAGUUAAACUGUGUGGUAGUACACAAAAACUAAUCAAUGAUUUUCAGUGGAUUAAUGCAAUUCCUGUAUUUUAAAUGAAAUUUUGUAUCUUUUAUGGAAUUCCACGUAGUACAAAAGGGCUGAUUAUGAAACAGCUGUUUACAAAUGAAAAUAUUGUUUUUGGCUGGUCAGCUAAAUGGGAAACAGAUUUGAAAAGUUCCAUGAAUUUGAAUGUAAAUUUACCAUAUCAUUUAUACGGAACCAAAGAACAUUGGUAAAAGACUGCAACAUAGUUUAC